AUCCCACUCCGCAGCAGCGGAGCUAUUCGCACACUUGCGCUCACAAAUUUAACAUAGCGUACGCGUUCCAGUAUCUGUAGUCUAGUUCAAUGGAAAAUACAUAUGCCCAACAAGGAACUAAACCAAACCUUUUUAACCAAAAAAUGAAUAUCCAUAGAUAAGGAUUUGUCAUAAACAUUUUAGAAAUAUUAAUGGUGAUUAUUAUCAAUGGUGGUUGUCAUUGAUUGUAACAUGAUUAUAACCUUAAUUAAAAGUAUGCGAAUUUGUCGCAUGUUUAAAAUAUAUAAAAAUGAAAAGUUAAAAAGUUUUCUAAGUAUAUUUGUGUCGUCACAACAAAAUGCAGUCUCUUUUAAUAAGAACAUUGAUACUGUUGUUGCUGAGCGAAGCAAUCAUUUGCUAAGACAUACAUUUACAAGCCGGCUCUUGCUAUAUUUACGUAACGUAAAUGAUAGGAACUUUAAGAAAUAUAAACGAGUACUUAAUCAAAAACCUGCCCUUACAGCCGUAGUUUUGAAUGAAUCGUUAAAAUUGAAAACAAACGAUCUAACAGUUACAGAUAUUACAAAUGCUAUUUUGAAGUUAAAACUCAACUCUAAACAGAUGUUAAACGCUAUGGAUGUUCUUUGUUCUUCAUAUGUAAAAGACUUAACUACAGAAGAACAGUUUUACAUUCUGUAUACAUUUAUAAAUGUAAUAUCAAAUCGAGUUACCCAUUUGAAGUUUUAUCAGGCAGCAAUACAUCACAUCCAAGAGGAUAUAAAAUUCAUUAAGAAAAGUGAUUUGCUACAAUUGAUAUUCUUUAUAGGUUUGAAUAAAAAAAGUAACAAACCUACAAUGAAAAAGUGUUUGAAGCAGCUUUAUAAAAUGGAAAUAAUCAAAGAAUUAAAUGUAAAUGAAUUGUGUAUUGUUUGUCAUGCAGCAUUCAAAACGAGUACUAAAAUUAGAAAUGAAGAAUUACUAGAUAAAGUAAAAGAAACAAUAAAUAAUAAUUUAACAAUCUUAAAAGAUCCGGCACUAUUUGUCACCUUUAUUAAAACACUAAGGCACAAUCAGUUUCAAGAUGAUGAUAUCCUGAGUACAAUUACAUAUACAAUUUUAUUUAAUAAAACAAUAGAUUGUUAUUCAUUUGUUGAAAUUUGUCACAUUUUAGCUUUAUAUUCUGACUAUAUGUAUUAUGAGCAACCGAUUUUAAAAGUAUGUGUAGAAACUGGUAUAAGACAACUGAAAGAAUAUGAUAAAAACAUUGACAAAGUGAUUCGUAUGAAAGACAUUAAACGUUUUUUAUGGGCAGUAAGUUACAUAGGAUAUGAUAAAUUUGAUUCAAGUUGGUGUAGAAAUGUAAUAGUUCCUAGAAUAAUACAAAAGAUUAAGAAUAGGGAAUACAAAUGUGAUACAGAAUCAAUUGUAGAAUGUAUUUUAUAUUUAUGGAUGUUGGAUUGUAAAGCUGUUGAAUUGUUUCCAUAUGUUCUUACACCAACAAGUGUUCAGCAAAUAAGAGAACAAAAGUCUAGAUGCAAAUACAGAUUAAACUUACUUUUAUCUGCAAUACAGUUUGAAGACAGGGAGAUGUAUAAAAAUUUAAAUAUAAAGCCCCAAGGAGAAGAUUAUGAUUUAAAUUAUCAAAUACAAAACAGACCAGUGUUACUGCGAAUCCACGAAAAUUUGAAGCUUUUAUCAAAAACAUCAUCACUUAAUGUUUUUGAAAUAAAUUUUCAAAUUCCUUAUUUAAAUAUAGCAGGAAUAACCGGCUUCAAAAAUAAUAUUUACAAAGCUGUAAAUAUUGAAAUCUUGGACGAGUAUACAUCUGUUAAGAAGAAAUUUUGUUAUCCAUCAGGUCUAAUGCAGCUGAAAUUGCGAAUGCUUAGAACAAUGUCAGAACCAGUUGUAACAAUAUGCCAAGAAGAAAUUCAAGAUAUGAGUGAUCUGGAACUCCAAAAUUACUUAAAAGAAGAGCUAGAGUUUGUUUGAGCAGUAUUUAUUAGAGAUGGGCCGGGUAGUCAGUUUGGAUCCGACACUUGUUUUAGGAUUCGGCCGGGUACCGGAUAAUGACGGCCGAUUUUUAGUGUUUAUAAACAUUAUAAGCUCCUUUCAAUGUUUUUAACUUAACUCUCGUUAAAAAUCCACCAAUUAAGAAUUGAAAUUUCAUUGGCUUAGUGUUUUUGAACGGGACUUAAUGUGAUAUGGGACGUUGGUGAGGAUAGUAUUUUAAUGGAAAACCCACCAAAAUGAAGACAUGAACCACAAAGUGGUUUAGUCAAGUACUAGCACAGCAAAUGCCGGGCACUUGGUAGCACUAUCCGGUGCAUCUCUAAAAUUUUUUACUUUAUAAUAUUGUGAUAUUUCAUUGCAAUUAAUAGACUGACGUAUACAUAUAUUUACAACUUUUGUCUCAAUAAUUAAAAAAAAAAAAUAAAUAAUUUUU